CAGGAAAUUGCUCUCUUGCUCUUCCUCUAUCUCCUGCUCUCUUCUCUACAGAGUUGCCAUGUUAUCCCAGGAAAAGGACACCAGCAGAAGGCAUCCUCUAUAAGAUAAGUCUUAUAAAAUACAUAGAUUUAUGAUAAUUAAGACUGAGCUAGCAUAUCAGAAAUCCUAGUAAAAAAAUGGACCACACCUCUUCGAGUACACUGGAUCCAAUUUGCUUCGUUUCAACUGACACUCAGGCCAGAACUUCGGAUAGUGACUCUAAUCAACACAGGAACUUCAAUUAAGAUAAGGACUCCAACCUGGACCUUCAAUCAAGCAUCUCCCACCAGACACAGACUGGAUAUAAUCCAGUCAGGAAUUUCACUACACUAACAUUUUUUCCCCCAUAGGACUCCACAAGGCUGUCAUUGUCCCAGAGGCAACAUGCUGAGAACGUGAGACCUGGCAACUGUCAUUUCACAUACUGACAUGAUCUCAUCAGUAGGCAGCUGUCCACUAGUGUUGGAAUCAGGGCUUUGUCAAAGGGAAGGGAAAUGGCCACUAUGGGAUAGAGAUUCUUCAGUGUGUCUGACACACAUCUGAAACAUGAAUGAAGGGUUACUGCAGAGACAUGGAUGACUCAAAAGCAGCAUGGGUGACAAUCCGUGGAUGCUGCAUCACUGGAGGUACCUGAACAACCUUGUAGGCAGCUUACCUGAAAAGUCCUCUUCCUCUAACAAUUCUUUAUUGUUUAUAUAACCUGGCAGGAGGACAGAUGAGUCUAGUUGACUAUCACUAGACCCUUUCUUCAAUCCAGAGGAAAAAGGACCUUAAAAGGGGGCUCUGAUACACAGACACACUGCAACAACAUCGUUCAUCCUUCAUAUAGAUCUUCUCCUGCUUGAGACUCUGCUGUGUCCUGUCUUUGAGAAGACGGGGAGCAGCUUCUUGACAGUGUCUUUAGGAUUCCUGAUGCUUCGGUGUUCAGAUUCCCAGAUAAAUGUUGGAACUGUGUUGAGGAACAUGGCUGUAUUGUAGAACAUUUACAAUGAAAGGUUAUUUUCUAAUGAGACUGGAAGGAAAAAGGUUGAAGAAAAUGACCCAGAAUUUGCCAUUUUUGGACUGGAUAAUCUUUUUUUUUUUUCAAAAGAAAAGUGUGUGCACAUGCACUAGUUAGUGUAUGUGUGUGUAAUCCACUGAGUUUAAUCAGAGUUGCUUGUUUGAGCAUGACAGUGAGUUAUUUACUGGGGUUUAGGCAUCUUUCAAGUAGCUACUUCACCUCCCUCAAUAACCAUGAUCUGUGAAUAGUUUCACAGGGGAGGGGAGGGACUCAUGAGCCCCUUCCCAUCAAUGACAGAAUGUUAAUAGACCCAUCGUGUUCAGAGCUUGAGCAAGUGACCACAGCUAUAGAGAGUUCAUUAGUUAAAUGGCCAUGUCAAGUCUUGACAAUAGGAUUCCAUGGGAUUCCUCCCUGUCCUGUGUCUGUGUAACCAUUUCUUAUCAUGUGCUUCAUUCUCACCCUUCCUUAAUUCUUCAGUAAUACUUCUUCCUUUAUUACAGAAACAGUUCUGUAAUAAAACCAGGUCUUCCGUAUCUAGAGCUGUUUCUAUUGCAAUGUCUAUUUCCUUUCUUUCUUUCUUUCUUUCUUUCUUUCUUUCUUUCUUUCUUUCUUCCUUCCUUCUUUUCCUCUCUUUAUCCUCUCUCUUUUCUUUCUCUUUCUCUCUCUCUCUCUCUCACAUACACACACACACACACACACACAGAGAGAGAGAGAGAGAGAGAGAGAGAGAGAGAGAGAGAGAGAGAGAGAGAAGAGGAGGAGGGAGGAGGGAGGGUGAGGCUAACUACAAAAUCACUAAGCAACGUCCCCAGUCUUGCUUUCUAUCUAAAGCAAUGAUCUGCUACUGGAGAAAACCUUCCAUACCCCAUAUCUUAUAAUGACCUAAACAAUUUAUUACUCAACCUGUCUCCAGUUUUCAUGGCAUCAAUAAGGCUACUCAUGCAAUUUUUAGAUGUUUACUCUGAAGUGAUAGAUUAAUAGUCAUUUAAACAAAGUGCAGACUGCCUGAAUUAGUCUAACAAUUAUUUAUUUAAAGCCUGUAUGACACAGUAAUCAUUUCUCUGAAAUAGAAGUCGCUAUUAUACAAUCAGAGGGAGUUGUCACUUAAAAGAUGUGAAUUUAAACUUCAAAAUACACAUUUUAAUAUUAAAAGAUUUGGCAUUACUUGUUGAAAUGUUUA
rnacentral:lncRNA from 1 species